AAGCCGGACGGUCGUCCAGUUGGAGCGGGACCGGAGGAGAAGCAGCUGCGAAGGAAAACGUGAAAACGAAUGACCUUCAGGAACAAGAUGGAUGACACGACUGCUUCAUGGACAGGAAGCAGAAGCAUCGACUGUACAGAAGAUGAUGGCAGGGUGACUGAGCCAUGUGAUGCCCUCAGGAACGUCGUUAAUGGCUCAUCAGAAUCAAUGAUGAAGGUCCAGUUUGAUGGGUGACUGAUCUGUCUGCUGUACAGCCAACAUACUCCAUCAGUGGUGAAGAUGUUGAACCACCAGGAGGAGCGGCACAAAUGCUCCGGGCAGAUCCACCUGGGAGCAGCUCAGGGUCCUCUGGCCUGACUUUGGAUAAACCGUUCACUGGAUGUUUCCUCAGUGUAUUUGAUUUAUUUUAAGAUACCAUACGAUAAAUGAAUCUUCUGUUUCCUCCAUUUGACGGUAUUGUACAGAUGUUUGAAACUCUGAAUAAAUGUGUGUAACUGGAUCAAUGACUCUGUUGCUGUAACUGAAAUAACCAAAAACAUGAGCCCAGUCAGUCCAGUGAGACGGGACUUGGUCCGUUUAACUGCCG
rnacentral:lncRNA from 1 species